rnacentral:rRNA from 1 species
UGAGGAAUAUUGGUCAAUGGACGCAAGUCUGAACCAGCCAAGUAGCGUGCAGGAUGACGGCCCUAUGGGUUGUAAACUGCUUCUAUAUGGGGAUAAAGUGGGGAACGUGUUCCCUUUUGCAGGUACAAUAUGAAUAAGGACCGGCUAAUUCCGUUCCAGCAGCCGCGGUAAUACGGAAGGUUCGUGCGUUAUCCGGAUUUAUUGGGUUUAAAGGGAGCGUAGGCCGUUUGGUAAGCGUGUUGUGAAAUGUAGGAGCUCAACUUCUAGAUUGCAGCGCGAACUGUCAGACUUGAGUGCGCACAACGUAGGCGGAAUUCAUGGUGUAGCGGUGAAAUGCUUAGAUAUCAUGAAGAACUCCGAUUGCGAAGGCAGCUUACGGGAGCGCAACUGACGCUGAAGCUCGAAGGUGAGGGUAUCGAACAGG